rnacentral:ncRNA from 1 species
AAAGUUAAAGAUGAUGAGGUGAUAUCCUUUAUCCUUACUGGAUUGGACAAUGAAUACAAUCCUAUCAUCACAUCUAUCAUGGGGUGUCCUGAUC